UUCACUCGAAUUUACAAAACUACCCCUACGUUGACCACCCUCUCUUCUCUCAUUUCUUUCCCCUCCUCGACGUGGCUUUCUUCGCCGGUGACUUGACACUUUUCGGCUUUACACUCUUCGCCGGAGCUUUUUUAGCCGCAGGAGCCUUCUUCGCAGCAGGCUUGGGAGCAGCAGCCCUCUUUCCGGGGGACGUCCUAGUUGAAGUCCUCGAAGCCUUAACCGGCUUGUCCUUAGGCUUGGCUGCAGCUUUUGGCUUUGUAGCUGCAGUAGUCUUCGGCUUCACAGAAGCCACUGCCUUAGUCUUG
rnacentral:lncRNA from 1 species